rnacentral:rRNA from 1 species
AACGAACGCUGGCGGCAUGCCUAACACAUGCAAGUCGAACGAGAUCUUCGGGUCUAGUGGCGGACGGGUGAGUAACACGUGGGAACGUGCCUUUAGGUUCGGAAUAACUCAGGGAAACUUAUGCUAAUACCGAAUGUGCCCUUCGGGGGAAAGAUUUAUCGCCUUUAGAGCGGCCCGCGUCUGAUUAGCUAGUUGGUGAGGUAAAGGCUCACCAAGGCUACGAUCAGUAGCUGGUCUGAGAGGAUGACCAGCCACAUUGGGACUGAGACGCGGCCCAAACUCCUACGGGAGGCAGCAGUGGGGAAUCUUGCGCAAUGGGCGAAAGCCUGACGCAGCCAUGCCGCGUGGAUGAUGAAGGUCUUAGGAUUGUAAAAUCCUUUCACCGGUGAAGAUAAUGACUGUAGCCGGAGAAGAAGCCCCGGCUAACUUCGUGCCAGCCGCCGCCGUAAGAC